GGUUCCAGGGCGUCUUGGUGAGCACUCUGGACUCUGAAUCCAGACAUCCGAGGUCGAGUCUUGGUGGGACCU
rnacentral:tRNA from 1 species